GUCUCUGUGGCUCAGUUGGUAGAGCAUGGUGUUUGCAACGCCAGGGUUGUGGGUUUGAUUCCCACGGGGGACC
rnacentral:tRNA from 1 species